GACGAACGCUGGCGGCGUGCCUAAUACAUGCAAGUCGAGCGAGCUUGCCUAGAUGAAUUUGGUGCUUGCACCAAAUGAAACUAGAUACAAGCGAGCGGCGGACGGGUGAGUAACACGUGGGUAACCUGCCCAAGAGACUGGGAUAACACCUGGAAACAGAUGCUAAUACCGGAUAACAACACUAGACGCAUGUCUAGAGUUUAAAAGAUGGUUCUGCUAUCACUCUUGGAUGGACCUGCGGUGCAUUAGCUAGUUGGUAAGGUAACAGCUUACCAAGGCAAUGAUGCAUAGCCGAGUUGAGAGACUGAUCGGCCACAUUGGGACUGAGACACGGCCCAAACUCCUACGGGAGGCAGCAGUAGGGAAUCUUCCACAAUGGACGCAAGUCUGAUGGAGCAACGCCGCGUGAGUGAAGAAGGGUUUCGGCUCGUAAAGCUCUGUUGGUAGUGAAGAAAGAUAGAGGUAGUAACUGGCCUUUAUUUGACGGUAAUUACUUAGAAAGUCACGGCUAACUACGUGCCAGCAGCCGCGGUAAUACGUAGGUGGCAAGCGUUGUCCGGAUUUAUUGGGCGUAAAGCGAGUGCAGGCGGUUCAAUAAGUCUGAUGUGAAAGCCUUCGGCUCAACCGGAGAAUUGCAUCAGAAACUGUUGAACUUGAGUGCAGAAGAGGAGAGUGGAACUCCAUGUGUAGCGGUGGAAUGCGUAGAUAUAUGGAAGAACACCAGUGGCGAAGGCGGCUCUCUGGUCUGCAACUGACGCUGAGGCUCGAAAGCAUGGGUAGCGAACAGG
rnacentral:rRNA from 1 species